GGUUGUGGCUCAGAGGUAGAGCGCUCGCCUAGCACACGUGAGGCACUGGGUUUGAUCCUCAGCACCA
rnacentral:tRNA from 1 species